UACGUAGGGUGCGAGCGUUGUCCGGAAUUAUUGGGCGUAAAGAGCUCGUAGGCGGUCUGUCGCGUCUGCUGUGAAAACCCGAGGCUCAACCUCGGGCCUGCAGUGGGUACGGGCAGACUAGAGUGCGGUAGGGGAGACUGGAAUUCCUGGUGUAGCGGUGAAAUGCGCAGAUAUCAGGAGGAACACCGAUGGCGAAGGCAGGUCUCUGGGCAUUAACUGACGCUGAGGAGCGAAAGCAUGGGGAGCGAACAGG
rnacentral:rRNA from 1 species